UCUCCGUAGGUGAACCUGCGGAGGGAUCAUUACAGAGUUCUCGCCCUCGCGGGUAGAUCUCCCACCCACUGUUAUCGUUACUGUCGUUUCUUUGGCGGGCCGCCGGGUCCCCGGCCGCUGGCGUCUAAUAGGCGGCGCGCGCCCGCCAGAGGCCUCCGAACCCUGACUGUUAGUGUCGUCUGAGUACUAUAUAAUAGUUAAAACUUUCAACAACGGAUCUCUUGGUUCUG
rnacentral:misc_RNA from 1 species